AAACAAGUCUGCCUCCCUCUGCGGCUCUGCCCAUGCUAAAAUCAAAGGGAUUCUGGUGUCAUCAGUUUCGCCCUUUCCCAUGUGUGGCUUUUCCUGGUGCCUUUGCCCCAGUUCCACCUGUGGCUGCAUCUCUCCUGGGUGGCAGAGUUGAGUCUGACAGUGCCUGAAAGGGUUUUUAUGAGAGUCUGUGCUUUCAGAAGGCAAACAGAGCUGCAGCUUCUUUCAGGAAUUGCUGGCAGUCUGUCAAACACAAUUUGCCUUUCAGCCGAGGAGCUUUUUGCUGGCGAAACACAAAUCUGGCGGCGGCCACGGCUGCUUUGUGCGGCCGCUAAUGCUAAAUGACUGCUCCUUUGUGCGGCCGCAAUGCCCGGCCCCUGG
rnacentral:lncRNA from 1 species